UCUCUUGGUCAUUUAGAGGAAGUAAAAGUCGUAACAAGGUUUCCGUAGGUGAUCCUGCGGAAGGAUCAUUAUUGAAUAAACUUGGUUGGGUUGUUGCUGGCUUUUCGGAGCAUGUGCACGCCUAGCGCCAUUUUUUACCACCUGUGCACUUCUUGUAGAUUUGAAACACCUCUCGAGGAAACUCGGUUUGAGGAUUGCUAUGCGAAAGCUAAGCUUUCCUUGCGUUUCAAGUCUAUGUUUUUAUAUACCCCAUAAGAAUGUUUUAGAAUGUCAUUAAUGGGCUUCAUUGCCUCUAAAUUAAUACAACUUUCAACAACGGAUCUCUUGGCUCUCGCAUCGAUGAAGAACGCAGCGAAAUGCGAUAAGUAAUGUGAAUUGCAGAAUUCAGUGAAUCAUCGAAUCUUUGAACGCACCUUGCGCUCCUUGGUAUUCCGAGGAGCAUGCCUGUUUGAGUGUCAUUAAAUUCUCAACCCUUUCAGCUUUUGCGAGCUGGAUUGGCUUGGAUAUGGGGGUUUGCGGGCUUCUCAGAAGUCGGCUCCUCUUAAAUGCAUUAGCGGAACCUUUGUGGACCAGCUUUGGUGUGAUAAUUAUCUACGCCAUGGUUGUGAAGCAGCUUUACAUGGGGUUCAGCUUCUAACCGUCCAUUGACUUGGACAAUUUCUGACAUUUUGACCUCAAAUCAGGUAGGACUACCCGCUGAACUUAAGCAUAUCAAUAAGCGGAGGAAACA
rnacentral:rRNA from 1 species